UAUGAAGCCCCUAUGGGCUGGCAUGUCCUCUCUGGAGGGCUGGCACACUCAGGGGGCACCCUGGGCAGUAGAGUGACACCUGUCCCACAGAGGUAGGAUGGGGGCCCAGGCCUGUUAUCAGACUGACUAUGGUGUGAAGGCAGGAGCAUCAAGAGUUCCGGGCCAGCCUGGGCUACCAGAGACCUUGUCUCAAAACAACAAAAAAAAGACGGUUUGUAUAUAAGUACAAGGCAGUAAUACCUGUGGUCAGUAGGUUGAGGCAGGUGGACGUCAGCCUGGUCUACACAGUGAGGUCUGAUGCAACCUGAGCUAUUGGGGCCCCUAUCUCAGAACAUCAAAGAGUUAAAGAGGGCUACAGGAGAUGGUGGCCGCCUCCGCCUUUAAUCCCAGCCCUCAGGAGGCAGAGACUGGAGAGUCUCUGAGUCUGAGGCCAGCCUGGUCUACAUGGCUCUGUGACAGCCAGGGCUACAUAGUGAGACCUGUGUCGUAAAUAAAAAGUAAGAGUUCCCAGGUCCUAGUGCCAUCCCAGCACCUGGAGGGGCUGAGGCAGGAGGAUUGUUGCAACUUCAGCACCAACCUGGGGCCUGGUUUACAGAGUGAAACCUGUCUAAAAAAAUAAAAUCUGAAAUAAAUAUGCCCGGCAUGGUAACACACACUUUUAGUUCCAGCACUCAGGAGGUGGACCUCUGUGAGCUCACGGCCAGCCUGGUCUACAGAGUGAGCCCCAGAACAGCCAGGGCUACACAAGGAGCCCUGUCUCAAAAAUCAUAAUAAUAAAAUAAAUACAUAAAAGGAAAAUAGUUCCCUGGCUAAUAUCUAUUAGCCUAACAUUUCAGAUCAAGCUGAGGUGAAGCAGGAGGGUUCCUACAAUUCCGGGCCGGUAUGAACCCUAUAGCAAGACCCUGUCUCAAACAGUCCCAGGACACAUGGGGACAAAUAACAUCGAGAGCCAUGCUCACAUGACCUGUGAGGCUAGAGAGGAGAAACAAGGCUUGGCCAGGCCACUGCAAUGUCACUGCAGUGAGCCCCAGUGAGGAGCUGGGUGCCUUCCCCAGCCACAGAAGGCAGAUGAGGGGAAGAGGGAGCCAUGGAGACUCCAGGCCUCACGAGACAGGGCCAAAGCCCUGGGUCAGGACUCAGACUCCACUACUCCAGAGGCAGGAGGCCAAGUGCUGACCUAGACCCUGCUCAUGAUGGGGCUUUCAUAAAGUUUCCACUGUUGGCCUGUGACAUUGUCUUAGUUUGUCCUAUAGAAACAGGGUCUCAUAUGGCCAAGGCUGGCCUGGCACUCUGUAGCAGAGGAUAACCCUGAACUCCUGAGCUUCCUGCAGCAGGCCAGCCUUCCCUGUCACCAUCCUCCUGUCCCACUUUGGGACAUACACACAGCCUUUCCGUGGCUUGCCAGCAGCCUCUGAUUCCAACACAGCCAGAGUGUCACAGCAGCAGCUGGCCCUGUGUGGCCACGUCCCUGCCCUGACUUCCCAGCCCCCCGGCAUGGCACAGUCUCUUUUGAACUAACUACUCAGUGCUAGCAUUGGCAGCCCAAGAUGACGGCACACCGGCAAGGUCAGCCAGCCACUGUGUGGACGGAGGAGCCAGAUACAGGCCUGGACGCUGGAGGUCAGGACAGGCUGCUGCCGACCCAGGAAUCACAGAGCUGCCUUUCAGCAUGGCAGCUGUUUCGAGACAGACAUUUGUCAGCUGGAUGGUGGUGGUGCAGGCCUUUAAUCCCAGCGAUCUGGAGGCAGAGGCAGGCAGAUCUCUGCGAGUUCACGGGCAGUCUGAUCUACAGAGACUGCUUCAGGACAGUCAGAGCUACGUAAGACCCCAAAAAGCCCAGAGAUGGAUGGAUGGAUGGAUAACAAACAAGCAAUUUUCUAUGCCAGGGAUGGUGGGCACACACCUGUCAUCCCUCUUGGAUGAGGCAGGAGGAUCACCUCCAGGCCGGGCAGUGUAGGCUUGCCAGGCCAUGGGUUCCCCAGUGCUGCAAAUGACAAAACCAACUGGCCACACACACAGGCCAGGGCUGCACCCUCCUCGGCCACCUUGGGGUUCCUGUUUCUCCACCACUCAGCCUCGACCCAUGGCGGCCGUGAGCUCCGCCCUCCCCACCCGUUGGUGCUGUGUGCAUUUAGGGUUUCAUGUAGUCCAGGCUGGCCCCCAACUCCUUCUGUAGCUGAGGCUGAGCCGGAAUACCUGAUGGAUGACAGCUGUCUGCCACCACACCUGGUUUUCGCAACACCGAGCCUGGCGCCCAGUGCCCC